rnacentral:rRNA from 1 species
AUACGGAGGGUGCAAGCGUUGCUCGGAAUCACUGGGCGUAAAGCGCGCGCAGGCGGCUUGAUAAGUUGGAUGUGAAAGCCUACGGCUCAACCGUAGAACUGCAUCCAAAACUGUCAAGCUAGAGUCUGGGAGGGGAAGAUGGAAUUAGUUGUGUAGGGGUAAAAUCCGUAGAGAUAACUAGGAAUACCAAAAGCGAAGGCAAUCUUCUGGAACACUACUGACGCUGAGGCGCGAAAGCGUGGGGAGCAAACAGGAUUAGAAACCCCAGUAGUCC